rnacentral:rRNA from 1 species
AAUCAACGCUGGCGGCGCGCUUAACACAUGCAAGUCGAACGAGAAAGGGGAGCAAUCCCUGAGUAAAGUGGCAGACGGGUGAGUAACACGUGGGUCAUCCACUCCUUGGUGGGGGAUAACCCUGGGAAACCGGGGCUAAUACCGCAUAAGUCCGAGAGGACAAAGACGAAAGUCGCCGAGGAAGGAGCCCGCGGCCGAUUAGCUAGUUGGUAGGGUAACGGCCUACCAAGGCUUUGAUCGGUAGCCGGCCUGAGAGGGCACACGGCCACACUGGCACUGAGACACGGGCCAGACUCCUACGGGAGGCAGCAGUGGGGAAUCUUGCACAAUGGGGGAAACCCUGAUGCAGCGACGCCGCGUGAGCGAUGAAGCCCUUCGGGGUGUAAAGCUCUUUCGACAGGAACGAUUAUGACGGUACCUGGAGAAGAAGCUGCGGCUAACUACGUGCCAGCAGCCGCGGUAAUACGUAGGCAGCAAGCGUUGUUCGGAGUUACUGGGCGUAAAGAGUGU